rnacentral:rRNA from 1 species
UACGUAGGGUGCAAGCGUUGUCCGGAAUUAUUGGGCGUAAAGAGCUCGUAGGCGGCUUGUUACGUCGGCUGUGAAAACCCGGGGCUCAACUCCGGGCUUGCAGUCGAUACGGGCAGGCUAGAGUCCGGUAGGGGAGACUGGAAUUCCUGGUGUAGCGGUGAAAUGCGCAGAUAUCAGGAGGAACACCCGUGGCGAAAGCGGCUCUCUGGGACGGUACUGACGCUGAGACGCGAAAGCGUGGGGAGCAAACAGG